rnacentral:rRNA from 1 species
UACGUAGGGUCCGAGCGUUAAUCGGAAUUACUGGGCGUAAAGCGUGCGCAGGCGGUUCGUUAUGUCCGAUGUGAAAGCCCCGAGCUCAACUUGGGAAUGGCAUUGGAAACUGGCGGGCUGGAGUGUGGCAGAGGGGGGUGGAAUUCCACGUGUAGCAGUGAAAUGCGUAGAGAUGUGGAGGAACACCGAUGGCGAAGGCAGCCCCCUGGGCCAACACUGACGCUCAGGCACGAAAGCGUGGGGAGCAAACAGG